AGAGUUUGAUCCUGGCUCAGGAUGAACGCUAGCUACAGGCUUAACACAUGCAAGUCGAGGGGCAGCAUGGUCUUAGCUUGCUAAGGCUGAUGGCGACCGGCGCACGGGUGAGUAACACGUAUCCAACCUGCCGUCUACUCUUGGCCAGCCUUCUGAAAGGAAGAUUAAUCCAGGAUGGCAUCAUGAGUUCACAUGUCCGCAUGAUUAAAGGUAUUUUCCGGUAGACGAUGGGGAUGCGUUCCAUUAGAUAGUAGGCGGGGUAACGGCCCACCUAGUCAACGAUGGAUAGGGGUUCUGAGAGGAAGGUCCCCCACAUUGGAACUGAGACACGGUCCAAACUCCUACGGGAGGCAGCAGUGGGGAAUAUUGCACAAUGGGGGAAACCCUGAUGCAGCGACGCCGCGUGAGUGAAGAAGUAUCUCGGUAUGUAAAGCUCUAUCAGCAGGGAAGAAAAUGACGGUACCUGACUAAGAAGCCCCGGCUAACUACGUGCCAGCAGCCGCGGUAAUACGUAGGGGGCAAGCGUUAUCCGGAAUUACUGGGUGUAAAGGGUGCGUAGGUGGUAUGGCAAGUCAGAAGUGAAAACCCAGGGCUUAACUCUGGGACUGCUUUUGAAACUGUCAGACUGGAGUGCAGGAGAGGUAAGCGGAAUUCCUAGUGUAGCGGUGAAAUGCGUAGAUAUUAGGAGGAACAUCAGUGGCGAAGGCGGCUUACUGGACUGAAACUGACACUGAGGCACGAAAGCGUGGGGAGCAAACAGGAUUAGAUACCCUGGUAGUCCACGCCGUAAACGAU
rnacentral:rRNA from 1 species